rnacentral:rRNA from 1 species
UAUCUCUUGACGUUAGCAACAGAAGAAGCACCGGCUAACUCCGUGCCAGCAGCCGCGGUAAUACGGAGGGUGCGAGCGUUAAUCGGAAUUACUGGGCGUAAAGCGCAUGCAGGUGGUUCAUUAAGUCAGAUGUGAAAGCCCGGGGCUCAACCUCGGAACUGCAUUUGAAACUGGUGAACUAGAGUACUGUAGAGGGGGGUAGAAUUUCAGGUGUAGCGGUGAAAUGCGUAGAGAUCUGAAGGAAUACCAGUGGCGAAGGCGGCCCCCUGGACAGAUACUGACACUCAGAUGCGAAAGCGUGGGGAGCAAACAGGAUUAGAUACCCUGGUAGUCCACGCCGUAAACGAUGUCUACUUGGAGGUUGUGGCCUUGAGCCGUGGCUUUCGGAGCUAACGCGUUAAGUAGACCGCCUGGGGAGUACGGUCGCAAGAUUAAAACUCAAAUGAAUUGACGGGGGCCCGCACAAGCGGUGGAGCAUGUGGUUUAAUUCGAUGCAACGCGAAGAACCUUACCUACUCUUGACAUCCAGAGAAGCCAGCGGAGACGCAGGUGUGCCUUCGGGAGCUCUGAGACAGGUGCUGCAUGGCUGUCGUCAGCUCGUGUUGUGAAAUGUUGGGUUAAGUCCCGCAACGAGCGCAACCCUUAUCCUUGUUUGCCAGCGAGUAAUGUCGGGAACUCCAGGGAGACUGCCGGUGAUAAACCGGAGGAAGGUGGGGACGACGUCAAGUCAUCAUGGCCCUUACGAGUAGGGCUACACACGUGCUACAAUGGCGCAUACAGAGGGCAGCAAGCUAGCGAUAGUGAGCGAAUCCCAAAAAGUGCGUCGUAGUCCGGAUUGGAGUCUGCAACUCGACUCCAUGAAGUCGGAAUCGCUAGUAAUCGUAGAUCAGAAUGCUACGGUGAAUACGUUCCCGGGCCUUGUACACACCGCCCGUCACACCAUGGGAGUGGGCUGCAAAAGAAGUGGGUAGUUUAACCUUUCGGGGAGGACGCUCACCACUUUGUGGUUCAUGACUGGGGUGAAGUCGUAACAAGGUAGCCCUAGGGGAACCUGGGGCUG